CACACACUUAAUUAAUUAAGUGUGUGNNNCAUUAACUGAAUCCAUAGGUUAAUGAGGCGAACCGGGGGAACUGAAACAUCUAAGUACCCCGAGGAAAAGAAAUCAACCGAGAUUCCCCCAGUAGCGGCGAGCGAACGGGGAGGAGCCCAGAGCCUGAAUCAGCAUGUGUGUUAGUGGAAGCGUCUGGAAAGGCGCGCGAUACAGGGUGACAGCCCCGUACACAAAAGCGCAUGUGCUGUGAGCUCGAUGAGUAGGGCGGGACACGUGGUAUCCUGUCUGAAUAUGGGGGGACCAUCCUCCAAGGCUAAAUACUCCUGACUGACCGAUAGUGAACCAGUACCGUGAGGGAAAGGCGAAAAGAACCCCGGCGAGGGGAGUGAAAAAGAACCUGAAACCGUGUACGUACAAGCAGUGGGAGCACCC
rnacentral:rRNA from 1 species